CCCCUUCUCCUCCUCCUCCUUCUCUCAGCCUCUCUCUCACCUCUUUCCAAUGCCUAGUGCUAUCAUCCAUAUCAAUUUUUCUUCUUCUACAGUCACUUGUCUUUACAGCAAAAGACUACUAGGAUGAUGAUAAUGGUAAUGAUGAUGAUGUUGAGGAGAUGGAGAAGGGAAGAAGGAGAAGGAGGAGAGAAAAAAAAAGAGAAAGGAGAUACAUUGCAGAAUCUAUUUUGCAUAUCGUGCACCAACUUCUGCCAGUCAAAAACUUGCUAGAUCUAGUUUUGUUUAGAUAAGAGUCGGGUUCAAAGUGGUGUGGGUGGUUUGAGUGAUGAGCAGUGGUUAUCGUGGAGAUGGAGGGCGUGAAGAAAGCUUAGCAGAUUGGCACCAGAAAGAGAGAAGAGUGGCCGUGGGACGGUGAAGGAGUGAAGUGUGUUGUGUAUCCAUUGAAAGGCAGUGGCGUGGGUUUGACUUGCUCCUCGGCUCAGCACUCGCCCUCAAGAUUACGUCACUAAAGCCCAGGUCAGAGUACGUUGUGCGAGUGUAAGGCAAAGGAAGUGGGCGUCGUUCAUAUGACAGAUUCCCACAUUAUCUUUCUAGCCUUUGAAAAUCGUCGUGGUGAGAAAGCAACUACUUUCUAAAGGCCUUAUUUGAAGUUACAGGUGUUCUCAAAGGUGUUUCUUGGUUCUAGUGUCAAAUGAACAAGAUCUCCACAUUAUUAAUAGCCUUGACAACCCGGCUAAAUGUCUCUGGUCUUUAUGUCGUUGUGAAAGAGCAAAGCGCCUGUUAGUUAUUGUGAAUGUGACUAAAGGGUUCCGCGGAGCAACUUAUAUACACUGACAAAAAAAAGUAUGAGCUCUAAUACCUUUGCAAGACAGAGACAGAGCUAAGGACUGUACACUAGAUAUAUAAACACAGAAAAAGAGGUGACCCGGACUAAAUGACAAGGACUGAUAACCAUAAGAGAGCCUCCCUAUGUGUCCGGUUCCUCGUUAUCCUCAAUACCUCUGUGGCUUGUGACUGUUCAGAAAGAGGCCGAAAGUGUAGUGUGAGUGAAUGCGUCGUCAGCAAGAUGGUGUCUAUGGGAAAUGGUGGUGUGAUGAAGUGUAGCUAUCAGUGUGCACCUGAACAAAGAAAAUUAAUUCUAAGACUGCUUAAGUGCUUCUGUCAUCCAUAUCAA